rnacentral:lncRNA from 1 species
AGAUUUUUGAACUGGACUUCUCCUAGGACAGGAUUUGAGCUUGAAAAGAGACCUGGAAGUGUCAGUAUACAAGAGAGCAAUGAAUGCAAAGCUGCAAACUAUAACAGUGACAACGGAAAUGGGAAGUUUCCCUUUCGAAGGUUUCAUUGCAGCGGACUGAGAGGCUGCUAAGCUCAUUGUUGGAGGCAGAGAACAGAAGCUUAACUGAAGCAACAGAAUGAUGAGGACACUUUUAGAGGCCUCGUUUUGGGAUUUUUUAUGGCUGUUUGAGUAGGAGUAAAGCUAAAGCCAUGUACAGUUAGGUUUUCACUUUUUUUCUACAUUUAUCUUUUUAGAGUAUAAACGCAGGUUAGGGUGGCAUAAUAAGUUGGAGGGCUAGGAAUAUGCAAACCCCUGGAACCUUCACAAAAGUCAGAAGGUUAUUUUCUAACAGAUUUAUGUUUUCAUAUAACUAUAUUAGAUGUAGAUCUAGAGCUAUUGACGGGCAGUAUUUUUCUUUUUUAAUUCCUAAGCUACUGAUUGCAAGAGAAAAUCCAACGAUAAGAUGAAUGUUUGGCCUGUAAUCUGCCUGAAAGAUACAUUGUCAAUUAAAAUUGAAAGAGCUUUUUGACAGUGAAAAACAAAAAAGUCUACGUGUACAAUUGAUCACAGAAACACAAGAAUUUCUUCGAGAUUUCACACUGUUUUCAGCUACAAAUAAGCAAGGAAUAUCCGAUUCCAUGUAUCAGGAACUCCUGGUAAACACCAGUGUAUGCAAUCCGCGUGGUGUAGUGGGUCUGCCCUCUGUUCUUCUGUCAGCAAUUUGCCUCCGGUCUCGGUGUAGACCGAUGCGUGAGCAUCGAUUCGGUACUCUGAUAGCUGUGUUAUGUUGAUGAAAGUAACAGGAACUUUCAUUUUCUUUCCUAUGCUGGCCACCACACUCAUCAUUCUUUUGUCAGAACCACUUCCCCAGUAUUUCUUCUUCAAUACCGGUGUCGUUCAUUGAAGCACUUGAGCCCUUCUGUGCUGUUCCAGUCUUCACUUCUGUUGAAAAAAGAAAAGAAUAUGAUUUUCAAAAUAGUAUAAAAAUGUGCAGUUUAAAAAUGAACAAAGACCAAGAAAAGGUAUAAAAAUGGAUUGAAUUUAAGAAAAUCCUGUUAGAGAGACCUCGUGUGUGUAGGGACAUCGUAGUAAAGAAGACACGAGUCUUGUUGGGGUUAAUAUUUGAGUCAAUCCAGUUUGCCCAUGUCUUCAAACCUAUCUUGUAAGCAACUGGUGUGUCCAGCUCUUCAUACCCUUCUUCCCCAUUUGCAAAUGAACCCCAUCUGCAAUAUUCAUUUAAACAUUGUUAGGUCAACAGUGGCAAUGCUUACUUGUCGGAACAUGAUUCUGGAACUUGCAUAAAUUUUGAUAGAAAUUUAUUGCAGGAGCUUACAAUGUUUUGAGCCUAAGACCACUCAUCCACCAUACAUAUGUGUUGAACACAAGAAAGUCCACACCUCCCCAGUGUUUGGCGUGCUUGUCAAUGGAAUCCACUUUCAGUAUCCUCUUCUUUGGAUCUACUAUGAUAUGGUCAUCGGUAUUGGAUUCGAUGAGAAAUGGAGCCCAGUAGAAUUCAAUGGUAGCAUCAUAUUCCUGAAGCAUUGAUUAGAAUCAUUAGCUGAAUUUGUAGAACUAACAUGGUGCUUGAAUUCAGUUGUUCUUGGAAAGAAAUCUAAAAAUGUCCUGCUAAUUUCUAGUACCUUGGCUCUGAAGACUGUAUGAGAGCGGCCCUGUUUCAUGGAUUUCUUGUCUUCAGGUAUAAUCCAUUCCACCAGACAAACAAAUGAUUGCCACUGACCCCUUUGAAGCGAAUCACCUACAAACAGCAACCUCUUCCCUCUAAGUUUCUUAAGAGCAAGCUCUGGAUUAAAUCUGCAAAUGCAAUCAUCACAUAUAACAUGUUAGAUAACUAAACUGUAUAUCAUCCUUCAAUAUGUUUACAGCAUCUGAAAUUCUUGCAAAAUAGAUAACUUGUUUACCUUGGCAAGGUACAGUCAUCCGGCUGCCAUUCCCACCGACGGUAAUCAGAAUCCCUUCGUCCAUUUUUGACACAAGAAACCUGUCUAUCUAGAUAUGGGCAGCUCCUGUCCGUGUACAGAGGCUUGAAAGUCUUGUUAAACAUCCACUUGCCUGUAUUGACAGUGCACUCUUCCGGAUCGAACUCGAAUCUAUCAUCCAUUUGGAAGUUUUUAAGGUUAUCCUCUGCAGCUCUAUCCUCUGUUGGAAAUGACAUUUACAACGUAAGAUCACAACAGUGUUUCUUAUAAAACCUUAAGCAGGACAUGUUCAUGAGUAAGACAAACCAUCUCAUACUUACUAGAUUUUUUGAACUGGACUUCUCCUAGGACAGGAUUUGAGCUUGAAAAGAGACCUGGAAGUGUCAGUAUACAAGAGAGCAAUGAAUGCAAAGCUGCAAACUAUAACAGUGACAACGGAAAUGGGAAGUUUCCCUUUCGAAGGUUUCAUUGCAGCGGACUGAGAGGCUGCUAAGCUCAUUGUUGGAGGCAGAGAACAGAAG